rnacentral:lncRNA from 1 species
UCGUCAUUAUCUGGCAUUAUCUGACACAAGGUUUCACCUUGGUGUAGCACUAGAAGAAGUGAGCAGCUGUCCUGCAUUUUGCGCAGGAACACAACUGCCGAUGAAGAAACUAGGCCAUAUAUCUUUUUCUCCCUGACUAACAUACAUCGUCCGCACACAUAUUGUUGGAUAACAGUCAUACGCAGAAAGGCCCUGGAUUGAACAUGAUUUGGGGCUCCCUGUUUCUAAUCCUCACAGCAGUGCUUGUCACUGCACUGGGUGAAACCAUAAUUGUUCAAACGGGAUCAUCGGAUUCAACGAAUGUAAUAGUCCCAUCAUCAGGCUCUGCGUCCACAAUUGUUAUCAAAAAAGAGCCACCGAAAGUGAUUGUAAUUAACGACGAGCCAUCUCCUAUCGUCGUGCAAGUUCGAUGAUCGUUAUGGAGUCUCGUGGAGACGACUUUGAUCCAGCGACAGGAAAACGCCGGCACUCCGGACUGGACCCCGGUGAACAUGAUGCAGGGACAACAAAGAGAUCACAAAGCAAGGACUUCCUUGAGUGCACUUUACCCCUAUGAUGGAAGAGAUAUUCCACCGUCUACAGUUCUGAAGCUGUUAUAAUGGACAUUGCGUUCUUUAACUGCAUGUAAAAUGGACCUGAUAAUAUCGGCUUUAGAUAAAUGUCCAAUAUUUAAUGGCAAUUUGACGCCAAUUGUUUUAGCAGUUGGAAACAUCUCUAGGUAUAGGCCAAUGAUAAAGUUUUCAAAACCAACAGCUGUAUGAUAUGCAUUUUGCGUCGUUUACUAGUUGCGUUACGUUAGGAAGGGCUGCCUGACUUUUCCAUCUGUGCCGACAACUAUUUUUGCUCCCGUACCAUUUUGCUGCCUUUGCUCAUAUAUCUAAAGUGAAACAUAAGAAACAUAGCAGUGAAGCUCUCUCAUGAAUUGUGGUUCUUACCGGUCACGCGAAAGGCCCACGCCGCCACAUACGACGUUGUGGUGAAUUUCACUGGUCAAUUUCGAGCAGUUCUCGCUCAUGGGAAAGAACAAGACCUACACUUGGUCGAUUAGGUCUAGAAAUGACAUAUUAGUGGUAGAUACAACUCAUCGUGCU